rnacentral:rRNA from 1 species
AACGAACGCUGGCGGCAUGCCUAACACAUGCAAGUCGAACGAGACCUUCGGGUCUAGUGGCGCACGGGUGCGUAACGCGUGGGAACCUGCCCUUAGGUUCGGAAUAACUCCCCGAAAGGGGUGCUAAUACCGGAUAAUGUCUUCGGACCAAAGAUUUAUCGCCUUUGGAUGGGCCCGCGUUGGAUUAGCUAGUUGGUAGGGUAAAAGCCUACCAAGGCGGCGAUCCAUAGCUGGUCUGAGAGGAUGAUCAGCCACACUGGGACUGAGACACGGCCCAGACUCCUACGGGAGGCAGCAGUGGGGAAUAUUGGAAAAUGGGCGAAAGCCUGAUCCAGAAAUGCCGCGUGAGUGAUGAAGGCCUUAGGGUUGUAAAGCUCUUUUACCCGGGAUGAUAAUGACAGUACCGGGAGAAUAAGCUCCGGCUAACUCCGUG